rnacentral:rRNA from 1 species
CCUACGGGUGGCAGCAGUGGGGAAUAUUGGACAAUGGGCGAAAGCCUGAUCCAGCCAUGCCGCGUGUGUGAAGAAGGCCUUCGGGUUGUAAAGCACUUUCAGUGGGGAAGAAAGCCUUGGGGCUAAUACCCUCGAGGAAGGACAUCACCCACAGAAGAAGCACCGGCUAACUCCGUGCCAGCAGCCGCGGUAAUACGGAGGGUGCGAGCGUUAAUCGGAAUUACUGGGCGUAAAGCGCGCGUAGGCGGUCUGAUAAGCCGGUUGUGAAAGCCCCGGGCUCAACCUGGGAACGGCAUCCGGAGCUGUCAGGCUAGAGUGCAGGAGAGGAAGGUAGAAUUCCCGGUGUAGCGGUGAAAUGCGUAGAGAUCGGGAGGAAUACCAGUGGCGAGGGCGGCCUUCUGGACUGACACUGACGCUGAGGUGCGAAAGCGUGGGUAGCAAACAGGAUUAGAUACCCUGGUAGUC